rnacentral:rRNA from 1 species
GAGUUUGAUCAUGGCUCAGAACGAACGUUAGCGGCGCGCUUAACACAUGCAAGUCGCACGAGAAAGGGCUUCGGCCCCAGUAAAGUGGCGCACGGGUGAGUAACACGUGGGUAAUCUUCCCUCGAGCGGGGGAUAACAUUCCGAAAGGAGUGCUAAUACCGCAUAAGACCACGCCUUCGAAAGAAGAAGUGGUCAAAGCUGGCCUCUAUUCAUAAGCUAGCACUUGAGGAUGAGCCCGCGGCCCAUCAGGUAGUUGGUAGGGUAACGGCCUACCAAGCCGAAGACGGGUAGCUGGUCUGAGAGGAUGAUCAGCCACACUGGAACUGAGACACGGUCCAGACUCCUACGGGAGGCAGCAGUGGGGAAUCUUGCGCAAUGGACGAAAGUCUGACGCAGCGACGCCGCGUGGGUGAUGAAGGCC